UACGGGGGGGGCAAGCGUUGUUCGGAAUUACUGGGCGUAAAGGGCUCGUAGGUGGCCAACUAAGUCAGACGUGAAAUCCCUCAGCUUAACUGGGGAACUGCGUCUGAUACUGGAUGGCUUGAGUUUGGGAGAGGGAUGCGGAAUUCCAGGUGUAGCGGUGGAAUGCGCAGAUAUCAGGAGGAACACCGGUGGCGAAGGCGGGUCUCUGGGCCGACAUUGACGCUGAGGAGCGAAAGCGUGGGGAGCGAACAGG
rnacentral:rRNA from 1 species